rnacentral:lncRNA from 1 species
GUAUGUUUUACUUGUCCUACUAGGUUAUAACCCGCCUGAGGGCUGAAGGUAUUAUGGCUUGUUUCGUUUAAAUCUCUCUUUUCCAGAACCGUAGUUCUUGGCAAAGAUGAUUGGUAGAUGAAUAAAUGAAUGUCUGACAUUGAUAAAUCUACCAUUCAGUAGAGCAGUGUUUCUCGGAGCUUUUCCUAUUGUGAUAAGGAGGAUGUCUUGCCACGGAUACCUCGUGUACCCAGAAGGGGCUGCCAGAAAUGGCGAAAUAGCUUGACUAAUCCAGCUGAAGUUAGUUCUUCCUGUCUUAAAACAAAGGUCUUGGUUUCAUUGAAUUUCACCUCCAAAAUUUAGUCUCCUGCUUUCUUCAAUGUGGUCAAGCUUCACUUUUGUCUCUACCUUGGUUUGUUUGCUAACCGAGGCCCCACCUUCCCCGCUUGACAAUUUGCAUGUGGCCAAACCACUCCUCACCUCUGAUGCCAGCUACUUCAUU